UACGAAGGGGGCGAGCGUUGUUCGGAAUUACUGGGCGUAAAGGGCGCGCAGGCGGCCCUUGAAGUCAGGCGUGAAAGCCCCGGGCUCAACCUGGGAGGUGCGCUUGAUACUCGAGGGCUUGAGUGCGGGAGAGGAGAGUGGAAUUCCCAGUGUAGAGGUGAAAUUCGUAGAUAUUCGCAAGAACACCAGUGGCGAAGGCGGCUCACUGGCCCGGUACUGACGCUGAGGUGCGAAAGCGUGGGGAGCAAACAGG
rnacentral:rRNA from 1 species